rnacentral:piRNA from 1 species
UCUGAUGCUGGAGUUAGAUGGUUGUGAGUC